rnacentral:rRNA from 1 species
AAAUUGAAGAGUUUGAUCAUGGCUCAGAUUGAACGCUGGCGGCAGGCCUAACACAUGCAAGUCGAACGGUAGCACAGAGAGCUUGCUCUCGGGUGACGAGUGGCGGACGGGUGAGUAAUGUCUGGGAAACUGCCCGAUGGAGGGGGAUAACUACUGGAAACGGUAGCUAAUACCGCAUAACGUCGCAAGACCAAAGUGGGGGACCUUCGGGCCUCACACCAUCGGAUGUGCCCAGAUGGGAUUAGCUAGUAGGUGGGGUAACGGCUCACCUAGGCGACGAUCCCUAGCUGGUCUGAGAGGAUGACCAGCCACACUGGAACUGAGACACGGUCCAGACUCCUACGGGAGGCAGCAGUGGGGAAUAUUGCACAAUGGGCGCAAGCCUGAUGCAGCCAUGCCGCGUGUAUGAAGAAGGCCUUCGGGUUGUAAAGUACUUUCAGCGAGGAGGAAGGCGUUGUGGUUAAUAACCACAGCGAUUGACGUUACUCGCAGAAGAAGCACCGGCUAACUCCGUGCCAGCAGCCGCGGUAAUACGGAGGGUGCAAGCGUUAAUCGGAAUUACUGGGCGUAAAGCGCACGCAGGCGGUUUGUUAAGUCAGAUGUGAAAUCCCCGGGCUCAACCUGGGAACUGCAUUUGAAACUGGCAAGCUUGAGUCUCGUAGAGGGGGGUAGAAUUCCAGGUGUAGCGGUGAAAUGCGUAGAGAUCUGGAGGAAUACCGGUGGCGAAGGCGGCCCCCUGGACAAAGACUGACGCUCAGGUGCGAAAGCGUGGGGAGCAAACAGGAUUAGAUACCCUGGUAGUCCACGCCGUAAACGAUGUCUACUUGGAGGUUGUGCCCUUGAGGCGUGGCUUCCGGAGCUAACGCGUUAAGUAGACCGCCUGGGGAGUACGGCCGCAAGGUUAAAACUCAAAUGAAUUGACGGGGGCCCGCACAAGCGGUGGAGCAUGUGGUUUAAUUCGAUGCAACGCGAAGAACCUUACCUGGUCUUGACAUCCACGGAAGUUUUCAGAGAUGAGAAUGUGCCUUCGGGAACCGUGAGACAGGUGCUGCAUGGCUGUCGUCAGCUCGUGUUGUGAAAUGUUGGGUUAAGUCCCGCAACGAGCGCAACCCUUAUCCUUUGUUGCCAGCGGUUAGGCCGGGAACUCAAAGGAGACUGCCAGUGAUAAACUGGAGGAAGGUGGGGAUGACGUCAAGUCAUCAUGGCCCUUACGACCAGGGCUACACACGUGCUACAAUGGCGCAUACAAAGAGAAGCGACCUCGCGAGAGCAAGCGGACCUCAUAAAGUGCGUCGUAGUCCGGAUUGGAGUCUGCAACUCGACUCCAUGAAGUCGGAAUCGCUAGUAAUCGUGGAUCAGAAUGCCACGGUGAAUACGUUCCCGGGCCUUGUACACACCGCCCGUCACACCAUGGGAGUGGGUUGCAAAAGAAGUAGGUAGCUUAACCUUCGGGAGGGCGCUUACCACUUUGUGAUUCAUGACUGGGGUGAAGUCGUAACAAGGUAACCGUAGGGGAACCUGCGGUUGGAUCACCUCCUUACCUUAAAGAAGC